rnacentral:snRNA from 1 species
AGCUUUGCACGGUGGCAGUGUUGCAGCCAAUGAGGUUUAUCCAAGGUGUGAUUAUUGCUAAUUGAAAAAUCACUAACUGCUGUAAGCUUGAAAUAGUAUAGACGUAAUGACAACAAAAUAAUGAGGUAAUUAAAAGCCCUGUUAUUCUCGGGGACCUUUAACUACAUGAGG